UUCCGGUUGAUCCUGCCGGAGGCUAUUGCUAUUAGAGUCAGAUUUAGCCAUGCUAGUUGCACGGGUUCAGACCCGUUGCGAACAGCUCAGUAACACGUGGUCAAACUACCCUGUGGACCAGGACAAUCUCGGGAAACUGAGGGUAAUCCUGGAUGGCGCUCGACACCUGGAGUGGGUCGAGCGCGAAACGCAUCCGCGCCACAGGAUGUGACUGCGGUCGAUUAGGUAGAUGGUGGGGUAACGGCCCACCAUGCCGAUAAUCGGUACAGGUCGUGAGAGCGGGAGCCUGGAGACGGAAUCUGAGACAAGAUUCCGGGCCCUACGGGGCGCAGCAGGCGCGAAACCUUUACACUGCACGAGAGUGCGAUAGGGUGACUCUAAGUGCGCAGGCAUAGUGCCUGCGCUUUUCUGUACCGUAAGGUGGUACAGGAAUAAGGGCUGGGCAAGACCGGUGCCAGCCGCCGCGGUAACACCGGCAGCCCGAGUGAUAGCCGAUUUUAUUGGGCCUAAAGCGUCCGUAGCCGGCCGUGCAAGUCCGUUGGGAAAUCUGCUCGCUCAACGAGCAGGCGUCCAGCGGAUACUGUUCGGCUUGGGACCAGGAGACUUGAGGGGUACGUCCGGGGUAGGAGUGAAAUCCUGUAAUCCUGGACGGACCACCGAUGGCGAAAGCACCUCAAGAGACUGGAUCCGACGGUGAGGGACGAAAGCUAGGGUCUCGAACUGGAUUAGAUACCCGGGUAGUCCUAGCUGUAAACGAUGCCUGUUAGAUGUAGCGCAGACUACGAGUCUGUGCUGUGUCGAAGUGAAGACGAUAAACAGGCCGCCUGGGAAGUACGUCUGCAAGGAUGAAACUUAAAGGAAUUGGCGGGGGAGCACCACAACCGGAGGAGCCUGCGGUUUAAUUGGACUCAACGCCGGACAUCUCACCAGCACCGACUGUAGUCGUGACGGUCAGGUUGAUGACCUUACCCGAGCUUCAGAGAGGAGGUGCAUGGCCGCCGUCAGCUCGUACCGUGAGGCAUCCUGUUAAGUCAGGUAACGAGCGAGAUCCGCACCUCUAGUUGCCAGCAGCAUCUCGCGAUGGCUGGGUACACUAGGGGGACUGCCGUGGUCAACACGGAGGAAGGAACGGGCAACGGUAGGUCAGCAUGCCCCGAAUGUGCUGGGCAACACGCGGGCUACAAUGGCCGAGACAAUGGGACGCAACGCCGAGAGGCGACGCCAAUCUCUUAAACUCGGUCGUAGUUCGGAUUGUGGGCUGAAACUCGCCCACAUGAAGCUGGAUUCGGUAGUAAUCGCGUGUCAGAAGCGCGCGGUGAAUACGUCCCUGCUCCUUGCACACACCGCCCGUCAAAGCACCCGAGUGGGGUCCGGAUGAGGCCGUCGCAAGGCGGUCGAAUCUGGGCUCCGCAAGGGGGCUUAAGUCGUAACAAGGUAGCCGUAGGGGAAUCUGCGGCUGGAUCACCUCCU
rnacentral:rRNA from 1 species